UCACCGCCGUGUGUUAGCGAGACUCUUUUAGUCAGUCCGGCGGUAGUGUGAGAGACUUAAAGACUCUCAGUGUUUCCGGUGACACCUGUGAGCGAGUUGUCAAUCUGUGUCAUAACCCACGACCGGUGACACAAGACAGGAAAUGUCCCAAGGACGCAAGUGUGAGUGUGGAGGUGUUGGGUGAUGACCCGCUAAGUCAGUCGGGGGUGGACCACAGUACAAGCAACACUAGCAUCAUCUGAGCUCUCUCUCUCUCUCUCCCUCUGACCCCACGUGCUCUACACUAUGCUCACUUCAGAAAACAGUAAUUAAUAAUAUGGUGGACUUUUCUUGAACUGUGUAAUAAACAAUACUACAUCAACGCGUAGAAAAGGUACUUGUUUAUCCUCGAAGGGACCCGAGUGUGUGUGUGUAGUACAAGUUAAGAAACUUUAUUAAAAAUGGAAUUCCGACAGUCCUUACUGCUGUGUGUGGCGUACGCGCUGUUCCUCAUCCUAGGUGCUGUCAUGUUCAUGUUUCUGGAAUAUGAAGUGAUAGAGACAAGAGAUGUGAUCGAACCCCGAGAGUGGAGUAACCUCAAAGAUAUGGUGAUGCAGGACCCGCCCGCCAAACAAGACGAGCUGGUCACCCUUGCUCUGUGGGUACCUAAGGCCUGCCGAGCUGUGUCCAAUUAUACCGUUCAGUCCCUCCUCAGUCCAGAUAGGAGGGUGGCGGCGACCCUGGAAGUGGAGCGAGUGUGUCCCCACCUCCACCAGGAGAACGUGACGGUAGAGGUGAAGUAUCCCUGGUCCUUCAUCGACGCCCUCUACUUCUCCAUGACCGUCUCUACUACUAUAGGCUACGGACACAUCUCGCCCUCGUUGGCAGCUGGACGCAUCAUGUGUAUGGUGUACUCUCUGGUAGGCAUCCCCCUCACAGGUAUGCUGCUAGCUUGGACCUCUGAGUUCUUCGGCGAACAACUCUUCAAGCUCUUCAGGUCCAAGCUAGACGUACAAAAGCAACAUUCUCGGGGGAUCAUCGCAAUGGCCACCGGUUUUUACAUCAUUAUUGGGUUCGUGGUGUUCAUCUUCUUGCCUGGCGCUGUCUUCACCACCCUAGAGGACUGGACCUAUCUGGAGAGUGUCUACUACGCCUUCAUCACCCUCACCACCAUCGGCUUUGGGGAUUUCGUUACUGGUUCACAGUCAGAAGGGGCGACGAUCUACGUGUACCAGAUCUGCGUCAUCUUGUGGAUCAUGAUCGGACUAGGCUACUGGGUCAUGGUGGCGAACUUUAUCACCAAAGCCCUCAAGUCCAAGCGGCUCCAGAGUUCAAUGAUACGCAGCGCUGAGGAGAUGAAGAAGCUUAUGCAACAGAUGGGCAUCAAACAGAAUGACCCCACCUUCCUCAGACAACACUCAAAGGCUACUGUCAACCUUAUGCUUCAGCUAAGCAGCAUCAUCGCGGUUCAAGGCGGGACGACGGAGAACGGUAGUAGUGACACCCCUUCGUCGCCCGGAUCAUCGUCCACAGAGCCAUCCACCUCCCCGUUAGUCUCUCCCAUGGGUAUCCCCGGCAUCUCGGCGCUGUUCGGGGCGGGAAUGGUACGAAAGCCCCCUCUCAGUCACUUGAUGGGACCAAUGCGUAAAGAGUAUUUACAGGACCUGAGAUGGAGAGAGACGAGGCUCUUAGCUCAACUUCUUCUUUGUACCACGGUAAUCUCCACUCUAGAAGAACAGCAGCAGCAACCUCCACCGUCUCCUAGCAGCAGUCUUCAUCUCUCAGCAGCAUCCAUCCCCUUGUAAAAUGUGACCAUCAUCUCCCAGCAAUAUUAUCAGCAGCAUUGGGCUCUUCACUACAGUAAUAACAGCAACAACCAUCUCCCAGCAGCAUAAACAACAGCGACAACCAUCAUCUCCCAGAAGCACGAAUAACAGCGACAACCAUCAUCUCCCAGAAGCACGAAUAACAGCGACAACCAUCAUCUCUCAGCAGCACAAAUAACAGCAACACUUACUAUCCCCCAGUAGCACCUACUGCCCCCACCCUCACAAAUAACAGAACUUAUCAACAGCUGCAUGCAUGGAUGGGAGGUGUUAUUUGCAGGGUUGGUGGUGUCCUCUGCAGUAGGUGCUUUAGAGUUUUGCCAACAGAAGGCUGCCAUCUGUCAGGUGAGUUUUGGUCUGCAGUUCAGUGUACUGUACUGCAUUCUUUGUUACAUAUUUAUAUAGAACAUUAUUUUGUAUUUAAUAUAUAGUGAAACUUUCAAAAUGUAGAACCAUAUGUGUUUUACUUUGUACAUACUGCAUGUGUAUGUGUCUGGCUGUGUUUUUCUUAUAAAAUCACUUAUACAGGUAUAAACUUCUGAUAACUUAGUGCAUAUAAAAAUUUUGAAAGGUCUUAGAUACCACUUUUGUCUUGGGCAAGAUAUAGUAUACAGUACUGUCUUCAGCUGAAGUAAAAAUGUGUAUCCCAUAGGUAUAACUGUAUGUUAGGGACAGUGUGUGAUACAGUGUACAGUAUACCGAACCGUUCAGAUUGCAAGGAAGCAGUGUGGUUGGCACUGCACUUACUAACUAAAGUGUAAAGAUAUCAUUUUAAUUAUGAUUUCUAACACCGUAGCCAGAAAAUGUGAUAAGAACAACCAGGGCAGUGCACAAUGAUUCACUGCCCAAGUUUAUAUGGUACCACAGUGCUGUACAGUACACUACCUUAUACUGUACUGUAUAAAGCUUUUUUAGUCAGUUCUUGUCUGAUAUUUCAUACCUGAUGAAGUCACCUUGAAUAUUCAAUUUUCAUUAUCAUGUGGAAAAUGCAACAUUAGACUUUAUAUUACAGAAGGUUGUACAGUAUAUUCUGCUGGUGAGGUAAAGAAAUGUGUCAAGACUGAUGACUGUGGCCUGGAAGCAUCUGGCCACAUCCAUUGUUAACAUGAUUUAUCAAGGCUUCUCUGACAUAAGUUGAACCUCCCUAAUCCAGACUUCCAUGACCCGGACACUUUUAACUUGUGUCUACGAGCCCCCAUAGUUAAGGGGUUAUGGAAAUCAUACACAGUAACCAAUGACUGACACAGGAAGCCUUUGGACCAGUCACUCAGCAUGGUUGGGGUCACCGCCUCAUCAGUCUUCCUGCUACAAGUGUUUCCAGAAGCCACAGCAAUCGUCACCAAUCUACUUAUAAAUAUGGCAUCAACAAGCAGUCCUCUUCAUGGUGGUGCAGCAAAGUGCAAACAUCAUUCACUGUCUAUUCAAGAAAAAGUUGAAUUAUUGCAGAAGUUAACAAGGGAACUUUAGAAAGGAGAUUGUGUGAUUUGCACUCAUAAUUAAGCAAAUUGUAAAGGGUAUAGGAAAAAAUAAAAAUGUAUCAAUUGU
rnacentral:misc_RNA from 1 species